rnacentral:rRNA from 1 species
AACGAACGCUGGCGGCAUGCCUAACACAUGCAAGUCGAACGAGACCUUCGGGUCUAGUGGCGCACGGGUGCGUAACGCGUGGGAACCUGCCCUUGGUUCGGAAUAACUCCCCGAAAGGGGUGCUAAUACCGGAUAAUGUCUUCGGACCAAAGAUUUAUCGCCUUUGGAUGGGCCCGCGUUGGAUUAGCUAGUUGGUAGGGUAAAAGCCUACCAAGGCGACGAUCCAUAGCUGGUCUGAGAGGAUGAUCAGCCACACUGGGACUGAGACACGGCCCAGACUCCUACGGGAGGCAGCAGUGGGGAAUAUUGGACAAUGGGCGAAAGCCUGAUCCAGCAAUGCCGCGUGAGUGAUGAAGGCCUUAGGGUUGUAAAGCUCUUUUACCCGGGAUGAUAAUGACAGUACCGGGAGAAUAAGCUCCGGCUAACUCCGUG